rnacentral:rRNA from 1 species
UGGGCGUAAGGGCUCGCAGGCGGUUUCUUAAGUCUGAUGUGAAAGCCCCCGGCUCAACCGGGGAGGGUCAUUGGAAACUGGGAAACUUGAGUGCAGAAGAGGAGAGUGGAAUUCCACGUGUAGCGGUGAAAUGCGUAGAGAUGUGGAGGAACACCAGUGGCGAAGGCGACUCUCUGGUCUGUAACUGACGCUGAGGAGCGAAAGCGUGGGGAGCGAACAGGAUUAGAUACCCUGGUAGUCCACGCCGUAAACGAUGAGUGCUAAGUGUUAGGGGGUUUCCGCCCCUUAGUGCUGCAGCUAACGCAUUAAGCACUCCGCCUGGGGAGUACGGUCGCAAGACUGAAACUCAAAGGAAUUGACGGGGGCCCGCACAAGCGGUGGAGCAUGUGGUUUAAUUCGAAGCAACGCGAAGAACCUUACCAGGUCUUGACAUCCUCUGACAACCCUAGAGAUAGGGCUUUCCCUUCGGGGACAGAGUGACAGGUGGUGCUUGGUUGUCGUCAGCUCGUGUCGUGAGAU